UCCCAGGUGGCUCAGUGGUGAAGAAUCUGCCUGCCAGUGCAGAAGGCCCAGGUUCAAUUCCUGGGUCAAGGAG
rnacentral:tRNA from 1 species